AUUGAACGCUGGCGGCAGGCUUAACACAUGCAAGUCGAGCGGAGAUGAGGUGCUUGCACCUUAUCUUAGCGGCGGACGGGUGAGUAAUGCUUAGGAAUCUGCCUAUUAGUGGGGGACAACAUUCCGAAAGGAAUGCUAAUACCGCAUACGUCCUACGGGAGAAAGCAGGGGAGCUUCGGACCUUGCGCUAAUAGAUGAGCCUAAGGCGGAUUAGCUAGUUGGUGGGGUAAAGGCCUACCAAGGCGACGAUCUGUAGAGGGUCUGAGAGGAUGAUCCGCCACACUGGGACUGAGACACGGCCCAGACUCCUACGGGAGGCAGCAGUGGGGAAUAUUGGACAAUGGGGGGAACCCUGAUCCAGCCAUGCCGCGUGUGUGAAGAAGGCCUUAUGGUUGUAAAGCACUUUAAGCGAGGAGGAGGCUACUGAGACUAAUACUCUUGGAUAGUGGACGUUACUCGCAGAAUAAGCACCGGCUAACCCUGUGCCAGCAGCCGCCGCGGUAA
rnacentral:rRNA from 1 species